rnacentral:rRNA from 1 species
AUGGCGGCCAACCACCACCUCCGCCGCCUCGCCUCCGCGUCCGCCCCCGCUCUCUCCCGCCUCUCCAAACCCCCUGCUUCGCCGCUCCUCCGCCCCGCGUUCUCCAGCUCCGCCUCCCCCGCGGAUCAGCUGGCGGCGGCGGGGGCCGCUGCAGCCGAGAAGGGCGAGGCCCAGGGCGCCGUGAAGGAGGCGGGCGGGGCGCAGGGCGCUGAUGCUGGCGCGAGGAAGGCGGGGGAGGAGGACGAGGAUGACGGCGGCCUGGACAUAAACGAGGCCACGGGCGAGAUCGGCGGCCCGCACGGGCCGGAGCCCACCCGCUACGGCGACUGGGAGCGCGGCGGCCGCUGCUCCGACUUCUGA